rnacentral:rRNA from 1 species
UACGUAGGGUGCAAGCGUUGCUCGGAAUUAUUGGGCGUAAAGCGCACGUAGGCGGCUUUUCAAGUCGGAUGUGAAAUCCCUCGGCUUAACCAAGGAAGUGCAUCCGAAACUGGAGAGCUUGAGUACUUAAGAGGAUCGCGGAAUUCCCGGUGUAGAGGUGAAAUUCGUAGAUAUCGGGAGGAACACCAGUGGCGAAGGCGGCGAUCUGGGAAGAUACUGACGCUGAGGUGCGAAAGCGUGGGGAGCAAACAGG